rnacentral:tRNA from 1 species
GGGGUUGUGGCUCAGUGGUAGAGUGCUUGCCUACCAUGCAUGAGGCACUGGGUCUGGUCCUCAGCACCA